rfam:Zootermopsis nevadensis contig15431, whole genome shotgun sequence.
GCCACUGUGGUCUAGCGGUUAGAACGCUGGCCUUGUAAUCCUGGGGUCUCGGGUUCGAUUCCCGGCGGUGCCC